rnacentral:rRNA from 1 species
ACAGCAGCAGCCACGGUAAUACGGAGGGUGCAAGCGUUAUCCGGAUUCACUGGGUUUAAAGGGUGCGUAGGCGGAUCUGUAAGUCAGUGGUGAAAUCUCCAGGCUUAACCUGGAAACUGCCGUUGAUACUAUAGGUCUUGAAUUUUGUGGAGGUUAGCGGAAUAUGUCAUGUAGCGGUGAAAUGCAUAGAUAUGACAUAGAACACCAAUUGCGAAGGCAGCUGGCUACACAACUAUUGACGCUGAGGCACGAAAGCGUGGGGAUCAAACAGGAUUAGAUACCCCCGUAGUCCCUGUCUCUUAUAC